rnacentral:rRNA from 1 species
GCUGCGAGAUGAGAUCUCUAUAUGUGCGAGAAGUUUAAAACAAAAAAACACGUCGGUACCCCACACCACCAGACCCGGUAUAUGGAGGGCACAGCUGCGAUAUAUACUACGUGCCACACAUCACCGGAAUUGUUGAGAUAAAGGGAGAGUGCACGCUUCUGUCUCGCGGGGGGAAACCCCCCGAAUCACCGGGGAAAAUCCUCAAAAAGGGGGGUGUAUAUCUUGGGAGGGGGUGAUGUAUUUCCUGUGGAGGGUCAACGGGAGGAAGGGGACCGCCCGCCAGGGGCAAGCGUCCGCCUGGACGGUUGGGGCCCAAAGGGGUAAAGUCCCCGGGAUCAUCCACGAUUAAAUACCCUUCAAGUCCCCGCUGGAAACGAUGUCAACUAACCGGUGCGUUCCACGAGAAAUUUGUGGCGCAGCUAAAGCAUUAAGUUGACCUCAAAGGGCAUACGACUGCAAGGGUAAAACUCCAAUCAAUUGACGGGGGGCUUCACAAGCGGUGGAGCAUGUGGUUUUAUUCGAACCAACGCGAAGUACCUUACUUCCCCUGAACAAGGGGGGCAUUUUCCAAAAGAAGGAUUGGUUCCUUCGGGAACUCAGUCACAGGGUGCUGCAAAAAAUUUUUUUCAAUCCCCCCCAAAAAAAGUUGGCUUUAUUCCUUAACGAGAGCAACCCUUGUCCUUAGUUACCAGCACGUUAUGGUGGGCACUCUAAGGAGACGGCCGGUGGCAAACCGGACGAAAGUGGGGAUGAAGCCAAGUCUUCACAUGCCCAACGGCCGUGCUACACACGUGCUACAAUGGUCGGUACAAAGGGUUUCCAAGCCGCGAGGUGGAGCUAAUCCCAUAAAACCGAUCGUAGUCCGGAUCGCAGUCUGCAACUCGACUGCGUGAAGUCGGAAUCGCUAGUAAUCGUGAAUCAGAAUGUCACGGUGAAUACGUUCCCGGGCCUUGUACACACCGCCCGUCACACCAUGGGAGUGGGUUGCUCCAGAAGUAGCUAGUCUAACCUUCGGGGGGACGGUUACCACGGAGUGAUUCAUGACUGGGGGAAGUCGUAACAAGGAACCAAUCAGUAUACCGCAGCACACG